UACGGAGGGUGCAAGCGUUUGUUCGGAUUUAUUGGGCGUAAAGCGCGUGUAGGCGGUUUCUUAAGUCUGAUGUGAAGCCCAGGGCUCAACCCUGGAAGUGCACAUGAUACUACGUGGCUGGAGUACUGAAGAGGAGAGCGGAAUUCCCGGUGUAGAGGUGAAAUUCGUAGAUAUCGGGAGGACACCAGUGGCGAAGGCGGCUCUCUGGGCAGAUCUGACACUGAGACGCGAAAAGCGUGGGUAGCAAACAGGG
rnacentral:rRNA from 1 species